GGAGAGGUGCAUGAGUGGUUUAUAUGGCAGUCUUGGAAAGGCUGUGUAUCUUAUGAUACCGCAGGUUCGAAUCCUGUCCUCUCCG
rnacentral:tRNA from 1 species